GAUGAACGCUGGCGGCGUGCUUAACACAUGCAAGUCGAACGAAGAUGCCGGAGUGCUUGCACUUUGGCAGACUGAGUGGCGGACGGGUGAGUAACGCGUGGGUAACCUGCCUUAUACAGGGGGAUAACAGUUGGAAACGACUGCUAAUACCGCAUAAGCGCACGGUAUCGCAUGAUACAGUGUGAAAAACUCCGGUGGUAUAAGAUGGACCCGCGUCUGAUUAGCUUGUUGGUGAGGUAACGGCCCACCAAGGCGACGAUCCAUAGCCGACCUGAGAGGGUGACCGGCCACAUUGGGACUGAGACACGGCCCAAACUCCUACGGGAGGCAGCAGUGGGGAAUAUUGCACAAUGGGCGAAAGCCUGAUGCAGCGACGCCGCGUGAGCGAAGAAGUAUUUCGGUAUGUAAAGCUCUAUCAGCAGGGAAGAUAAAUGACGGUACCUGACUAAGAAGCACCGGCUAAAUACGUGCCAGCAGCC
rnacentral:rRNA from 1 species